rnacentral:rRNA from 1 species
UACGUAGGGAGCAAGCGUUGUCCGGAAUCAUUGGGCGUAAAGCGCGCGUAGGCGGCCCUGUAAGUCCGUUGUGAAAGUCAAAGGCUCAACCUUUGAAAGCCGAUGGAUACUGCAGGGCUAGAGUCCGGAAGAGGCGAGUGGAAUUCCUGGUGUAGCGGUGGAAUGCGCAGAUAUCAGGAGGAACACCAAUAGCGAAGGCAGCUCGCUGGGACGGUACUGACGCUAAGGCGCGAAAGCGUGGGGAGCGAGCAGG